GGAGGAAUGGAGCUGAAGAGUGGAGUGGAGUGAGAGGAGGCUUAUAAGCGCCCGAUGUAGGCCUCAAGGCCAGAAUCAAGGUCUGCAGGUCUCGUGUUUCCAGCCUUGGGGCUUUUUUACCUGGGAACAGGCCCAGGUGAACCAUUAUUAGAGGCUCAGGAAGUUACACAAUAACAGCUGCAGACUCCAGCAGGAGAUUUUAAAUUUGGAAACAGUGAAAUUGUUUCAGAGGAUAUUAGAAGUGGAGGAUUUGCAGUUGGGAAACUCAAACCAAACAUCACAUCAGGAUCUGACGGAGUCGUCCAAUUUAUUGUAACCUGAAUAUCAUUGGAUUUUAAACAUGGAAGGAAAACUACCAUCCACAAUAGAGAGAAAUCAUGGAAAUGUGAGGACUGUGGGAAGGGAUUCAGUUACCAGUCUAAGCUGGCGCGUUCACACUGGGGAGCGGCCGUUCACCUGCUCUGAAUGUGGAAAGGGAUUCACUCAGUCUUCCACGAUGCUGACACACCAGCGAGUUCACACUGUUAAGAGGCCAUUCACCUGCUCCAAGUGUGGGAAGGGAUUCAUUAAUUCAACCAACUUGCUGACACUCCAGCAAGUUCACACUGGGGAGAGACCAUUCACCUGCUCUAAAUGUGGGAAGGGAUUCACUCUGUCAUUUGACCUGCUGACACACCAACGAGUUCACACCGGGGAGAGGCCAUUCAC